rnacentral:rRNA from 1 species
AGUCAUCAUGGCCCUUACGCCCAGGGCUACACACGUGCUACAAUGGCAUAUACAAAGAGAAGCGACCUCGCGAGAGCAAGCGGACCUCAUAAAGUAUGUCGAAGUCCGGAUUGGAGUCUGCAACUCGACUCCAUGAAGUCGGAAUCGCUAGUAAUCGUAGAUCAGAAUGCUACGGUGAAUACGUUCCCGGGCCUUGUACACACCGCCCGUCACACCAUGGGAGUGGGUUGCAAAAGAAGUAGGUUGCUUAACCUUCGGGAGGGCGCUUACCACUUUGUGAUUCAUGACUGGGGUGAAGUCGUAACAAGGUAACCGUAGGGGAACCUGCGGUUGGAUCACCUCCUUACCUUAAAG